rnacentral:misc_RNA from 1 species
AACGCACGAGACCUGCGGACCUGCGGAAGGAUCAUUAUUGAGAAGCUGCCCCUCGUGGGUAGACCUCCCACCCUCUGUGAACUUACCUUUGUUGCUUUGGCAGGCCCGUCCUCUGGACCGCCGGCUUCGGCUGGCCCGUGCCUGCCAGAGGAUUCCAAACCCUGUCUGUCAGUGUUGUCUGAGUCUAUAUGAAAUCGUUAAAACUUUCAGCAACGGAUCUCUAGAUCGGAAGAGCACACG